CCGGGUACAUAUGCCACUUCUCAUUGUAUCGCUUCUGGAUGCUCAAAGUACGAAUUGCUAGAAGUGAAUCGCAUUGCUUCAGGCGCUGCGUUCUCUGAACACUGUUGGAAGUGCACUCACACCAAAAGCGGAGUUUCAAGUAAAAAGCCCGAAGCAAGAGCAACAAGCUAUAAUGCCAUCGAGGGCGAUUGUACUUACGAUUCUUUUGGCAGCAGGUUCCCUGAGUGAUCUCAGAGGCGUACCGAAAGCCAGGUUCGGUAGCGGAUUGGUGUGUCCUGAUUUUGAAGUGGAGUGCGAGAACAUGUGCGUGGCCAUUGGACACAAGGAUGGAUUCUGCAAAGGCACUAUGUGCUCAUGUGAAAAUUGCAUUGUAGUGAACCUGGGACUACCGAGCGGCCGCUGAACCUUUGCCUCCAACUAAGGCUUCAAGCGCUGUCUCUUCUGAGCGAGCGCCUUUGUAGCUCACACUCGACCUGCAUAUACUCUACACUGGCAUUUUCAUAA